CAGAGAGGAUGUACACGGAAAUGUGUAUUCAGCAGCACCGGGGAAGAAAAAUGAAAGAUAGGCUACAUGUGAACUUUUUUUAUGAAACUUUUUUUCCCACCUCAGAUGAUAGGAAGGGAAAAGGCAAAGUCAUUAUUAUCAUGGUAAAUGGUUUCACAUCAACAAAACCCAGAGCUUCCGAAGGGGCUGAAGGAUGAGGGCGGUGGACCCGGUAAAGUCUCCGAAAGCUCUGCAUCGCUCACGAACUUCUGAACGCAGAGCUUCCUCUCGGCCCUUUCACACCGACGCUGAUGUUCUCGCCGCCUGCCAGCUCAGUGUGUGACCUUCCGUUCACAACUUGUAGCCGUCACUGAUGUGGGGCAACGGCGAUGGCCAACAGAGAGGCGGACGGGCGGGCACGUGCCAACACGCUGAGCACUGCACCCUCUUUUGACACAGCAGGAACGCUGUUUUCCCACACAGGCUUUAGAAAACCAAACAAGUUCUCACAACUGUUCUUUUAGAUGAUAACCGAGAGGUUUAUGUAAUCCUCUGCCUAUGUAAUCAGAAGAUCAGCACACCGCUCACAUUGUUUUGUUUUUUUUGUACAACCACCACAUAGCAUAAAACAUGGUGGCAUGACUGAACAGCCUCUAUAAAAGAUAAAGACUGUGCUUUAUUACAACAGAGGUAUCCAACAUCCCGGCCGGGCCACACAUACGCUGUGUGUGAGACGGGCCCACAGGGUAGAACCGGGUCCUCGUUCACAGGUCCACUGCAACCGAUUAGGCCUGCUCACGUUUGCCACAUCAAAUAGCUGCUUAAAAAAAAGGUCAUCAGUUGUUUCUGCGCGUCAUUGUCCUGCUCAUGGGAUUUUCAUCUACAAGACACACACAUCUGAACAAGGGCAGGUUUUAACGUCAUCUCCAGAUGUUCCAUCCUCUGGAGGUUGUUUUUUUGUUUCUCUCAAAACGAUGCCUCGCGGAGCUUUUGCGUCGUCUGUCGCCAGCAGUGCGUCCGCAUCGCGACGCGCGGGAAUUUGUCCAGAGCUGACGAACCGCGCCGUGAUCUUAACAUCGCAGACAAUGGCCGACUGUGGCUCCUCCGCAGCCCCCGAGGCGCAGCGCCUUCGGUCUCUCUGCAAUGGAACUUUGUGUGGGCUGCGAGCUCGUUGACGUCGGCUCUCGCAAAACUUCCACAUGAAAUGCUUUUGCGAUGUCAUAUCAUGCAGAACAGGCGCAGUUAUCCCGACGACUACGGCAGUGGAUUGUGCGGCAGAUCAAACAGGCCCGGCCUGGGGCGCAUUAUAUCAGAUUUCAUUUUGAGUCGAGGCCCUUCAUUCAUUUCUGACAUUUACAGUUGGAUUGGGUGCACCCCUCUCCGAGGCCUCUUGGCUCUCAGUCUGCACUGAGGCCCCACCAGCCACUCUGGAAAAACCCAGUGCAUCUGACUUGCAUUGCCUGGCUCCACUUGUGUGUUCUGUUUGGCCCGUGCCGUUGGAGGAGGAGAGCAGGCCAAUUACCAGCCGCCGCUCUGAGACCAAUAUGAUGUCAUCCUCCCGCUCCGCCAUAACAGGCUGCAGAUGAGAGGGGGCUGGGCCUCUCGGCAGCCUCAUUCGCUUAAUGAAAAGCAGCCAAGUAUUAUUGAAAAAAAGAAAGAAAAGAAAUCAAAACGAUAUCGAAUAUCUGUUAACAUUAACAUAUUCCUUCAUCUUAACUUACUUAUUAUCCAUUAAAGUGGUCUCUAAUGCAUCGCAGCCCGCUGGGAGCACAGCAGACUGGAGAUAGCAGAGAUAAUCGCUCACUGUUUAUCUCGUGAGCCAGGGCACCUUGUUUGAAUAAGGCUGAUAACAGCCCAUGAGAAAACAGCGGGAAUGCCAUUGUGUAUUAAGGGCCGUGCAUUUCACAGAUGUGAAGCGGAAGUUUUUCAGAGGCAGAGCCUCAAAUGGGUUAUCAACUCGCCCCACCCGUAAGGAAAAUCACCUGCGCGAUGGAGUUGUUGUGCCCUUUCACCCGCAGCCACACUCCCUCAUUCCUCGAAAAAGCAGCCGGCAGCCAGUGUGUCCCCGCAUGUCAACGGAGACAGUUUAACAACAACGCCGAGAGUGGCGGGGGGACGUACACCCCGAUGCAGGCCCAUGCACCCGGUCCACACUCCAAACGCACGAUUGCAAAAAAAAAAAAGGACUUCAGCGCCGUCCCAGAAGGCCUCGCUUUUCCAAAGGAAGUCUUGAAGCCACAUCAGAGAAUCUGGGGGGGCCUGUGGCCUGCAACAGAUCUCCUCUCAUUUCCCUGCAUACUCCAUCUCCAACGCCCACCAACCACACUCUAUGUAUAGCCUCAGGAGAUGAUAUAAAGCCUGAGCCGAUAGCUCAGAGGAUAAACAAAUGGCAACCUUUCCAUAUGGUAGCUGUUGUUAUCUGUGGAAAUGUAAAUCAUUGAGGUUAGUAUUGUUGCUGUGUGUCAGAGAUACACUAAGUCUGCCUGGGUGAUGGGAGAGAAGGAAAAGAGUUUUAAUCGCUCAAACUCGAGAUAGCAAUCGUCCAAUAUAGUUACUGAGACCAAACCACAAACCUCUUGGGGGCGCUAGAGGAAAUGUCGGGCGUUUUCCAAAGUCGAGAGGAGGUGUCCUCUUGUCACCAAGAAUAUCUGUGCAAAAUUUCUCAGCAAUACAUCGAAUAGUUGUUGAGAUAUUCCUGUCUGGAGGAAAGCAUUGGGCCGACCGACUGUCCAUAUAGAGCCACGAGGCUAGUAAUGAUUACCUGUAGUCCUAAGAUCUGGGCUGCAAGACAUUCAAGCAUCACUUGAGGGCGACUUACCCUCAUCUCCUCCCCACCUGUAGAUACACUAUCAAAAAUAUAUUGGUAUUUGUAGUGGGAGAGUGAAAAAGCUUUGGCGGUGAAUUCCUAUCUAAAUCUUCACAAGCCGCGCUUCAGAUAUGGCUCAGGGGAGGGAGGGUGAAGCAAGGUCAGGCACUUAACCUCAGCAUGAGGCAUGGACUUAAUACCUUUACAAAUGGAAAAAAAAAGAAAAAGACUAUUGGUGUAAUAACUCAUGAUUAAUGAACGGUAAGAAAUGCUGUGAUUUUUUUUCUCUCUGCUGAAAGUGUUGAGGUUUAAGACGCUGACCAUGCAUCAGAUAUUGGGCCUUUAAUGCGGGACAUCAAUCAAAGCAGGACAUCCCAACCAAAAUAAUCUUGGGUGUCCCCAGGUGAUCAAAGGAAUAAAAAAGACUUUAUAUCAUACUGCAUAUUUAAGUCUUUCGUGCUCUGCUCAAUGUGUGAAGGGGGAAAAAAAUCGGCUGCUCACACUUUUUCUUAUGAGAGGUCACAAUUAGACGCUGCUUCAUUCCUAGUCUUUUGUCUUUGGACAGCGGGUUUUUGCCAAAGACGAUGUUGUCAUGUGACCGGGCCUCUGUCAUUUGUGCUAGGCUAACUGGCUGCAUUCUGUUUAUAGUCCCAUAUUUGUGUGACACAUUGGUCACUCGGAGAGUGGCAGAAAGCAAUACGCGUAUUUGCAAAAAUGUCAAACUUAUUGCUUUAACGGGUCCACGAGCCAAAAGGGUUGGGAACCACUGCUUUGUCGCAUGUCAUCUUUCACUUCUGUCACUAUUAUGUAAAAGCAAAUAAUGACGGAAAUGAUUGACUUAGGCAGAAAAGGAGCACAACUUCCACCCAGUCGUCCAAUCAAAGCUCCACCCUCCAUCACGUUUGCAAGAUUUACGACUAAAAAAUGCUUGUAAGCACGACAAUUGUCUAUUCUUCCGCCAUACUUUCAAAACGUAUCCUCCUCUUUCCUGGGGGCUGGCUCCUCUCUAAAGCCCCCCACCUUGUCAAUGUGUCUUUGCUUCUGUGUGUGUCAUAGAGACUGUGUGAGCUGUGCCCCGCUUCGCAUUCCUCUGCCAUCCAACCUCUGUCCAGCCAGGACUUUCCCACAGAACCCUAAACCCUGUGAAUGAGAGUAGACCUUUGUUUCGGGCAUUUUUCAUCCUGAUCCCGGCAACUUCCCCGUGGUGGAAUGCAACAGGAAUGCCAGCGCCAGCUACCUGGCAUUAGAGAGUCUUUGUGCGGAAAUAGGAGAGGCUGAAGGAGAGAGCAGGUCAAAGAGGCCUGACAAUGGAUCGCUCACUUCUCAAGGUGCCCAGCCCAUAGUGCAGAGCCAGUGAAGCCGGGUCAGGUCUCCUGAACACGGCAAGGUGCACCGAGGAGAAGUGAAAGAGAAAAAAGAAGUCGCCUUUCUUUGAUCGGAGCCAGUUUCGCUAUGAACAAGUUGUUCUCCUACUGCACAAAUCAUUAACUGGAGCGCUGAUGUAGCAACUGAUUGGCAUGUAUACUCAGGCACACAACUUCACAAGUUGUUGUGGGCUUAUCGCGAGCGGAGCGCCGCAACGGUGAGGUGGUUACCCUCGAGGUGCAAUUCCAUUCAUUCCUGUCAACUGAGGGACCGGGGCGGAAGGAGAAUUUCAAUUUAGGGAUGCCAUGAUUUAUUGUGAUACUGAUCUGACGAUGUUUAGAUGAGUUGUUUUUUUUUACCUCGUCAAGUCGCAACAAGAGUUAAUUUUUUCUUUGCUUUUGGAUGACAUUCGGUUGUUGUUCCUCGGUUGGUGCAAAGCACUUGCAGGACCCAAAAUGAAAACACAUCGUACCAUAAAUAACAAGACAUCCACACU